CAGGUAGGACUACCCGCUGAACUUAAGCAUAUCAAAAA
rnacentral:rRNA from 1 species